AGUGAACGCUGGCGGUAGGCCUAACACAUGCAAGUCGAACGGCAGCACAGUAAUAGCUUGCUCUUACGGGUGGCGAGUGGCGGACGGGUGAGGAAUACAUCGGAAUCUACUUUUUCGUGGGGGAUAACGUAGGGAAACUUACGCUAAUACCGCAUACGACCUACGUGUGAAAGCAGGGGAUCUUCGGACCUUGCGCGAUUGAAUGAGCCGAUGUCGGAUUAGCUAGUUGGCGGGGUAAAGGCCCACCAAGGCGACGAUCCGUAGCUGGUCUGAGAGGAUGAUCAGCCACACUGGAACUGAGACACGGUCCAGACUCCUACGGGAGGCAGCAGUGGGGAAUAUUGGACAAUGGGCGCAAGCCUGAUCCAGCCAUACCGCGUGGGUGAAGAAGGCCUUCGGGUUGUAAAGCCCUUUUGUUGGGAAAGAAAAGCAGCAGGUUAAUACCCCGCUGUUCUGACGGUACCAAAAGAAUAAGCACCGGCUAACUUCGUG
rnacentral:rRNA from 1 species